rnacentral:rRNA from 1 species
UACAGAGGUCCCGAGCGUUGUUCGGAUUCACUGGGCGUAAAGGGUGCGUAGGCGGUCUGUUAUGUCGGAUGUGAAAGCCCUUGGCUUAACUGAGGAAGUGCAUCCGAAACUGGCAGGCUAGAGUACUAAAGAGGGUCGCGGAAUUCCCGGUGUAGAGGUGAAAUUCGUAGAUAUCUGGAGGAACACCGGUGGCGAAAGCGACUCACUGGCCCGACACUGACACUGAGGUGCGAAAGCUAGGGUAGCAAACGGG